rnacentral:lncRNA from 1 species
AACCCCUCCACUGCCAGCCCUUCCUCUCUCGGCUAGCCCCCAGAAACCGAGCAGGAGGACGGCGCUGCAGUGACCUCAGCUCUUGGCAGGAGCUCUAAUUGAAACCAAACUUGUUUCCCUCCGUGAGCAAGCAUGACAAGCGAGGCGAAAGGGACACUUCUUCGCUCUCCUGCCAGAACAUUAAGUGAGUGCAGGUGCCUCUGGUAUGUCCGGGACGGAGGGGGGAACCUUGUCUUUUAGUCUGGCUUUUCCACGGGAGAGGAGGGGAAAGGGGGGCGCCCAGACAUUGUGCUGGAAACUCACAUCCCGGCCAUUCCAGUCUGAGGCUCCAACACAAAACAACUGAACAAACACUCCCUCAGCCCAGGUGACUCAGGCCCAGAAAGAUACACCAUCAUCAUCAUCAGCCAAGAGGAGGCAUGUAGCCGCAGACCAGGGCUCUUCAUCUGUGAGCUACAGGAACGAAGACUAGCGCCAGUGUUCAGGGUCCCUCUCGCCUGCCCCCCAGAACACACGCCCCCCGCGCUGGUCACUGAGCACACAGACAGCGUUUCCACAGCUGCUGCCAAGAAUCAGACAGACGUGGGCCCAGGCCCCAGGAGAGCGGCCUGCCUGAGGUAAGAGUGAAGCCCUUCUCUCUGGGCCCAGCACUUACCCGCCUCAGCUCAGCCACUUGGCUGUGUUUAUUUAAUAUUCAGUCAGCUGUGGGGAGUAGGGUUAGCCACAGCUUAUAAAACUCAGUCAGCAUGACCAACAACCCCCCCCUCCACACACACACACACACCCCAAAUGUGAGCUGACACACACACGUGCGUCCCUGACUCUCUCUCCACUUCCCACAAUCUGGGCCUCUGCUGUGCGUCUCCAUGGCAACCACGGGAGUGGAUUUCUGAGGCCUGCUCUGCGUUUCCAGACCGCGGGAGUCGCAGGCCCCACUCCCGCAGCUCCUCCUGCUGAUCCACAGAGGCAAACAGAAGAGCACAGGAACCCGCGGUAGAGCUUAGCGAGGGUGACGCAACCCGGUCUCUUUCGCUGGGCUGUGGUGCAGUGAGGCCGUAAACAGAGCGAAAAACGCGAUUCGUUCGCCGGUUUCCGCUUUGUUUCGGUUGAUUGCCGAAGCUGCCUGUCUACCGGGCCAUGUAACACAUUCGUGCGAGCUCUUCGAAACGAAUAACCAGGGGCUGACUUCACCUCCCGCGUCUCAGCAGCUGAGCAGACACACAGGUCUGUGUUUCUCUCGCCUUCCUGCCAGCUGCGAGUCGU